CUCACUCUCACUCUUGCGAUUUUCAUCUGCGCGCUGCAUGCACCCACUGAUCGAGUCUCUCUCUUGCAAGAUCGACCGAUCGAUCUCAUCGUACACCUCACAGGCUUUCUGUGAAGAAGAGAGGUGCCGAGAAACCUGCUAAACAGCUUGCGAAGAAGGGGAAGGCUGCUGCCAAGGAUCCUAACAAGCCUAAGAGGCCUGCCAGUACCUUCUUCGUUUUCAUGGAGGAGUUCAGGAAGACGUACAAGGAGAAGCAUCCAAACAACAAAUCUGUUGCUGCUGUUGGUAAGGCUGGUGGAGACAAAUGGAAAUCCAUGUCAGAAGCUGUGA